GUAAUAGCUCACUAGUCGAGUCGGCCUGCGCGGAAGAUGUAACGGGGCUAAACCAUGCACCGAAGCUGCGGCAAUGACACUUAGGUGUUAUUGGGUAGGGGAGCGUUCUGUAAGCGGUUGAAGGUGUGCUGUGAGGCAUGCUGGACGUAUCAGAAGUGCGAAUGCUGACAUAAGUAACGAUAAAGCGGGUGAAAAGCCCGCUCGCCG
rnacentral:rRNA from 1 species